GACGAACGCUGGCGGCGUGCUUAACACAUGCAAGUCGAACGGAAAGGCCCUGCUUUUGUGGGGUGCUCGAGUGGCGAACGGGUGAGUAACACGUGAGUAACCUGCCCUUGACUUUGGGAUAACUUCAGGAAACAGGGGCUAAUACCGGAUAGGAGAUCCUGCUGCAUGGGGGGGGUUGGAAAGAGGCGGCGGUUGGGGAUGGACUCGCGGCUUAUCAGCUUGUUGGUGGGGUAGUGGCUUAACAAGGCUUUGACGGGUAGCCGGCCUGGGAGGGUGACCGGCCACAUUGGGACUGAGAUACGGCCCAGACUCCUACGGGAGGCAGCAGUGGGGAAUAUUGCACAAUGGGCGGAAGCCUGAUGCAGCAACGCCGCGUGCGGGAUGACGUCCUUCGGGUUGUAAACCGCUUUCGCCUGUGACGAAGCGUGAGUGACGGUAAUGGGUAAAGAAGCACCGGCUAACUACGUG
rnacentral:rRNA from 1 species